rnacentral:rRNA from 1 species
GAUGAACGCUGGCGGCGUGCCUAAUACAUGCGAGUCGAGCGAACAGACGAGGAGCUUGCUCCUUUGACGUUAGCGGCGGACGGGUGAGUAACACGUGGAUAACCUACCUAUAAGACUGGGAUAACUUCGGGAAACCGGAGCUAAUACCGGAUAAUAUAUUGAACCGCAUGGUUCAAUAGUGAAAGACGGUUUUGCUGUCACUUAUAGAUGGAUCCGCGCCGCAUUAGCUAGUUGGUAAGGUAACGGCUUACCAAGGCAACGAUGCGUAGCCGACCUGAGAGGGUGAUCGGCCACACUGGAACUGAGACACGGUCCAGACUCCUACGGGAGGCAGCAGUAGGGAAUCUUCCGCAAUGGGCGAAAGCCUGACGGAGCAACGCCGCGUGAGUGAUGAAGGUCUUCGGAUCGUAAAACUCUGUUAUUAGGGAAGAACAAAUGUGUAAGUAACUAUGCACGUCUUGACGGUACCUAAUCAGAAAGCCACGGCUAACUACGUG